rnacentral:tRNA from 1 species
GCCUUCGUGGUGUAGCGGUCAGCACGCUGGGCAUGUAUUCCAGAAGUAGGUGGUUCGAGUCCCGGCGAAAGCG